rnacentral:lncRNA from 1 species
CCGAGGCCCGUAGUAAGCCUGAAACACUAGAAUCUAUUAUCUCGGUAUAAAUUUCAACAUUCAGCCCAUAUGAUUAUGAAAAAUAAACCUCAACAUUUUAUUAGUUCUCGGCCCAAGUUUAUCUUCUACAACAUUCUAUAGUUCGGGCCCAGUUUACAAUACAUCACAUUCUAAUAUGGCUUACAGAAUUAUUUUGUCUAUGUUAAUUCACGACUAAAUAUAUGUAAAUCCUACAACUGCGGAGUCACUAACUCUUUGGCAUACAUAGCUUUUUAUACACAUAAUUACAUAGUGAAAUAAUUAUGGAACUAGGAAAAUUUCUCUAUUGCCCUACGCCGAAGAAACAUAGCCUAAAUCGGAUUAAAGAAAAACUUACUUCCUGAAAAAUCAAACAAGACGUGAGUUUUCUAAGGAGUAAUAAUUAUUGCACAACACACGCAGUCACACAAAUGUGUAAACAUAUCAAUCUAGUCAUCCGACUAGUUAUAUGCUCACGCAGCCAGUCACACAAUGUUUUUCCAUUCUCUCUUUUCUUUUCCAUACCAACAGGAGGCAACCCGGUGGUCUCCAUCCAAUCUAGAUCAUCAAGCGCUCACAACAGGAGGCCACCCUGCGGGCUGUAAUCAAAUCUAGAUUUUCAGGUGCGCAACAAUAAGCGGCCAUCCUGUGGUUUCAGAAUAAACAAAAUUAUCAGGUGCACACGGGGGCGCCGAUCUCCCAUUUACCCGGCUAACAGAAACAGAAUCAGGAUCCAUAUAACAUCAGAAUAUAACAGAAAUCAGAAUCAGGAUCCGUAUAACAGAAACAGUCUCACAAACCCAUGGUGACCCACUUCAUCCCAAUUCCACACAAGCAAAGCACAGUAUAUGCACAGCACAAGUAAUCAAACAAUUCUUUCAAAACAUAUUAAUCAAUUAGACAUCCAACAUCAAAUGCAAAUAAAUAAGUAAAUAGUGUUAACAAUAAACAAUAAUAAUAAAAUAAAUAAUAAUAAUGAUAAACAAUAACAAUGAAAAUAAAUAAAUAAAUAUUGGAAUACUUAAAUGAAUAAUAAUGAAAAUAAACAAAUAAUUAGAGUACUUUAUAUUUAUUAUGUAUCAAAUUAUAGAAUUUAUUUAAAUAAACUUAUUAAUUAUAUUGUUAAUUAAAACUAAUCUAAAUUCUAUCGAAAUUUCGGCAGCAUCUCCCCUAAAAAUGAGAUUAUCUACCUGCUUAAAUAUCAGCAAUAUUACAUCCAUCAACCAUUACACACACAGCCCAUCCAUCGGGCAAUCAAACAAAUUAAUUUCCCUUCCUUCGUCCAAAAUAAUCACAUCAAUAUUUAAUCGUUAAUGUCAAGCUUCAACUUAUUAUAUAACAUUAAGUAAAUAAAUAAAUAAGCAAAUAAAUGAAAAAUAGCUAUUUGCUUAACCUCCACACAUUACUAGUUAAACAAUUUAAUAUAGACCCUUAACAAUCAUAUAAAACUAUAGCUUAUGUAUUCAAUAAUCAUCAACUAAAUUCGGAGUUUUUCGAUACCAAAAUUAUAUAUUACACAUUAACUAAUCAAUCUCAUAAAUCAUCUAUAAUUUAUACAUGUCUUUCUUUCUUCAUACCAUUACUAGAACCGACUUUCUAAUCAAACUCACAUAUAUAUACACUUAAUAGUUCCAAAUUAACUAAUUAAUAAAUUAUAUUAACCUCGAAGCAUGAUUCAAUCAUACUACUAAUUGCUCUAAAACUAUUCACUUGUCUAAGCCUUAAUUUAUAACUUCUCCUAACAAUAUUUAUCCAAGUUCCUAAAUUAGCUUACAUCAAUAUUAUACCGAUUGCCUCUUAACAAAAUUAUAUUUGUUUGAUUAUUCAUCCAAAUUCAAUUUAAUUAACUAAUAUUUACUAAGUUUAUAAUUUACGCCGAAGAUAAAGAAACUGGUCUUAGAACGUACCAAUUGAGAAUCGGGCGACGAUUCCACGAUCAGCGCGAAGAGAAGAGCAUUCUGUCUCUCGGGGCCUCGCCGGAGUGUCGCCGGCCGGUCACCG